rnacentral:rRNA from 1 species
GAUAAACGCUGGCGGCGCACAUAAGACAUGCAAGUCGAACGGAAGUCGUUAUAAAAAGGAUUGAAGAUUUAUCUGAUUGAGAUUUUAUAACAAUGGCUUUAGUGGCGGACUGGUGAGUAACGCGUGAGCAACCUGCCUACUAGAGGGGAAUAACAGUGAGAAAUCAUUGCUAAUACCGCAUAUGCCAUGAACAUCACAUGAUGAAAAUGGGAAAAGAGUAAUCUGCUAGUAGAUGGGCUCGCGUCUGAUUAGAUAGUUGGUGGGGUAACGGCCUACCAAGUCGACGAUCAGUAGCCGGACUGAGAGGUUGAACGGCCACAUUGGGACUGAGAUACGGCCCAG